UCUUGAGUGAAGAUGCUGCAGGCGGAAUGUGUGGUGUANCGGUGAAAUGCAUAGAUACCACCCAGAACCCCGAUUGCGAAGGCAGCUUGCAAAACUUUCCACUGACGCUGAUGCACGAAAGCGUGGGUAGCGAACAGGAUUAGAUACCCUGGUAGUCCACGCAGUAAACGAUGACCACUGGCUUUUGGUGAUACGCAAUCAGAGGCUGAGCGAAAGCAUUAAGUGGUCCACCUGGGGAUUACGUUCGCAAGAAUGAAACUCAAAGGAAUUGACGGGGGCCCGCACAAGCGGAGGAACAUGUGGUUUAAUUCGAUGAUACGCGAGGAACCUUACCUGGGCUUGAACUGUCAGUGACGCUUGGGGAAACCCAAAGUUCCCUUCUGGGCGCUGUCAGAGGUGCUGGCAUGGCUGUCGUUCAGCUCGUGCCGUGAGGUGUCGGGUUAAGUCCCAUAACGAGCGCAACCCCUAUUGCUAGUUACCAGCACGUAAAGGUGGGGACUCUAGUGAGACUGCCACCGUAAGGUGAGAGGAAGGCGGGGAUGACGUCAAGUCAGCACGGCCCUUAUGUCCAGGGCUACACACGUGUUACAAUGGCCGGUACAACGGGCAGCCAAGGGGCGACCCUGCGCCAAUCCCCAAAGCCGGCCUUAGUUCGGAUCGCAGUCUGCAACCCGACUGCGUGAAGGUGGAUUCGCUAGUAAUCGCGCAUCAGCCAUGGCGCGNCGAAUACGUUCCCGGGCCUUGUACACACCGCCCGUCAAGCCAUGGAAGUUGGGGUUACCUGAAGUCCG
rnacentral:rRNA from 1 species